AUUUAUAAUAUUUUAUGAUUGGAUUUAAGAUAUUUAAAUAAUUUUUAAAUUUAAUCACAAUAAUAUCAUUUAUUUAUCGAUUUUUUUUAGUUAAAGUGUGGGUAACGGGUAUGGGUACGGACACUUAAGUAUCCAGAGGGUAAGGGUACGGGUAUUAAAGUUGAUACCCGAGAGGGUAUGGGUAUUUUUUAAAAUCGCGGGUAUGGGGACGGGUACUAUAGAAAGUAGGAGAGAGAAAUGUGUGGGCAUAAAAUGGAAUGUAAUUGAAUAGAAAUACUACCAAGACACUCACUCACUCACACCAUCUUUCACUUACAAAACCCUCUCUCUCUCUCUCUGUAGAGAUGACAGUUAUCUUGUGAAUUUUCUUCUCUCUUCUUCCAAUCGCAUUCAAUCUUAAUUUCCUUGUUCUUAUUCUUCUUCUUCCUUCAGCUCAAUUGAAUUUUGGAAUCGAAUUCGAAAGAAUUUCAUUCCCUGUACGCAAAACGAGGUCGUUUUUUGGAUUUUAGUGUGACGUCCUAAUUCAGGGGUAAUGGUCCCCAAGACAAACACAACAAGACUAUUCAGUUUCAAAACCCUAAAGGAGAAAAUUCUCUGGUUCUCUCUAUCCCCAUCAAGAGAGCAAGGUCUUCAGGGUGUUUUGCUGAGGAAGAUCACCCAACCCAUUGGCUCUAUCAUCAUCAUCUCAGGAUUUCAUUAAUGGCAAUUCCCACAGGCCUUGUACAGAUUUCUCUGAAAGCCUUUUCACUGCUAUGUCUUGUCCUGAUGGAAGCUGGCCCUAAAAGUUAUAACAAAUCCAAUAUAUUAUCAUAGUUGUUGAAAAACUAAGUAGUAAUUUUUCUUGUUUGAAUAAUUGGAUCUGGAUCAACUAACUACAACGACUAAAAGAUGAAUGACAAUAUGAAGAAAAUAGUGAUAUUUUAAAGUGUAGUAUGGUGGAUAUAUCCUAUUUUUUAAAUUGAUGAAAAUAUAUGGAAUGAAUCAACAAUUUACUUUGUAUACA